GAUCCUGCUCAGGAUGAACGCUAGCCACAGGCUUAACACAUGCAAGUCGAGGGGAAACGAUAUUGGAAGCUUGCUUCCGAUAGGCGUCGACCGGCGCACGGGUGAGUAACGCGUAUCCAACCUGCCCACCACUUGGGGAUAACCUUGCGAAAGUAAGACUAAUACCCAAUGAUAUCUCUAGAGGACAUCUGAAAGAGAUUAAAGAUUUAUCGGUGAUGGAUGGGGAUGCGU
rnacentral:rRNA from 1 species